rnacentral:misc_RNA from 1 species
GAUGAAGAACGUAGCGAAAUGCGAUAAGUAAUGUGAAUUGCAGAAUUCAGUGAAUCAUCGAAUCUUUGAACGCACAUUGCGCCCCUUGGCAUUCCGAGGGGCAUGCCUGUUCGAGCGUCAUUAUAACCCUCAAGCUCAGCUUGGUGUUGGGGCCUGCUGCACUGGCAGCCCUUAAAAUCAGUGGCGGCGCCAUCUGGCUCUAAGCGUAGUAAUUCUUCUCGCUAUGGAGUCCUGGUGGAUGCUUGCCAUCAACCCCCAAUUUUUCUAUGGUUGACCUCGGAUCAGGUAGGGAUACCCGCUGAACUUAAGCAUAUCAAUAAGCGGAGGA